UACGGAGGAUCCAAGCGUUAUCCGGAUUUAUUGGGUUUAAAGGGUGCGUAGGCGGCUUAUUAAGUCAGGGGUGAAAGACGGUGGCUCAACCAUCGCAGUGCCUUUGAUACUGAUGAGCUUGAAUACACUUGAGGUAGGCGGAAUGUGACAGGUAGCGGUGAAAUGCAUAGAUAUGUCACAGAACACCAAUUGCGAAGGCAGCUUACUAAGGUGCAAUUGACGCUGAGGCACGAAAGCGUGGGGAGCAAACAGG
rnacentral:rRNA from 1 species